rnacentral:rRNA from 1 species
GACGAACGCUGGCGGCGUGCCUAAUACAUGCAAGUCGAACGGUCUUUUCUAUGGAAGCUUGCUUCCGCUGAGAAGAUAGUGGCGAACGGGUGAGUAACACGUGGGUAACCUGCCCAUAAGAGGGGGAUAACAUCCGGAAACGGGUGCUAAUACCGCAUAGUUUUCUUGAUCGCAUGAUUGAGAAAGGAAAGACGGCCUUUGUGCUGUCGCUUAUGGGUGGACCCGCGGCGUCUUAGUUAGUUGGUGAGGUAACGGCUCACCAAGACGAUGAUACGUAGCCGACCUGAGAGGGUGAUCGGCCACAUUGGGACUGAGACACGACCCAAACACCUACGGGAGGCAGCAGUAGGGAAUCUUCCGCAAUGGACGAAAGUCUGACGGAGCAACGCCGCGUGGGUGAAGAAGGUUUUCGGAUCGUAAAACUCUGUUGUCAGUGAAGAACAAGUCGGAGAGUAACUGCUCCGGCCUUGACGGUAUCUGACCAGAAAGCCACGGCUAACUACGUGCCAGCAGCCGCCGUAAAAC